UACAAAGAAGAAAUGUUGAAAUUAAUAGAGAGUAAAUUUGAGUUUGUUCCUCCAAUAAAUGACUUAACAAGAGAAAUAUUAAAAUCUGAGCUGAAUGAGAAAUGGAGGCAAUGGAAGGGUGAUCUAAAGUCAAUGGCAUAUGACCCUACUAAAACAGAAGAAGAAGUUGCAUCUCUUGUAUCAGAUGAUAGGGUUGACCCAAAUCAAUAUCGUGGUUUGGUUCAUCAUUGGUUUUCUGAUGAAGGA